rnacentral:misc_RNA from 1 species
UACGGAGGGUGCAAGCGUUGUCCGGAUUUAUUGGGUUUAAAGGGUGCGUAGGCGGCCGAUUAAGUCUGGGGUGAAGGCCCGUUGCUCAACAACGGAACUGCCCUGGAAACUGGUUGGCUUGAGUACAGACGAGGGUGGCGGAAUGGAUGGUGUAGCGGUGAAAUGCAUAGAUACCAUCCAGAACCCCGAUUGCGAAGGCAGCUGCCUAGACUGUAACUGACGCUGAGGCACGAAAGCGUGGGGAGCGAACAGG